rnacentral:rRNA from 1 species
AUUGAACGCUGGCGGCAGGCUUAACACAUGCAAGUCGAGCGGUAGCACAGGGGAGCUUGCUCCCUGGGUGACGAGCGGCGGACGGGUGAGUAAUGUCUGGGAAACUGCCUGAUGGAGGGGGAUAACUACUGGAAACGGUAGCUAAUACCGCAUAACGUCGCAAGACCAAAGAGGGGGACCUUCGGGCCUCUUGCCGUCAGAUGUGCCCAGAUGGGAUUAGCUAGUAGGUGGGGUAAUGGCUCACCUAGGCGACGAUCCCUAGCUGGUCUGAGAGGAUGACCAGCCACACUGGAACUGAGACACGGUCCAGACUCCUACGGGAGGCAGCAGUGGGGAAUAUUGCGCAAUGGGCGCAAGCCUGAUGCAGCCAUGCCGCGUGUGUGAAGAAGGCCUUCGGGUUGUAAAGCACUUUCAGCGAGGAGGAAGGUGGUUAGCUUAAUACGUUCAUCAAUUGACGUUACUCGCAGAAGAAGCACCGGCUAACUCCGUG